AUGUCCGUCAUGUCUAGAACAAAGAAGCGAUUGUGGUACCUCCAUGUGAUGGAACACUGCGAGGUGACGGAGCAGAAGCAUGCGUGGCGUGUUGGCGGAUCCACCGGAGGCCACGUAGCUGGAGGAGAGGCAAGAUUCCUGGGGUCCUCGAAACUCAACAUUCUGGCCAAACGAAGCUAUACAAUAAUGACCAGAGUAAGAGCGAUGAUGACAUCAGUGGUGGCUACCUUUACUGAAGCAUUAUCUUGUGCCAAGCAGAGUUUUACGCACUUCCCAGGUGUUAACUUGUUGAAAUCUCUCACACACCUUAUGAUUUUACAAGCCAAGAAGCUACGAUACAGCGAGGUGAGGUCGUUCACCCGCCGGCCCAGGCUUUUCUUCCGUCUGGGUGUUCUUCCUCAAACCCGUUUUCUAAAGGGCUUCAGUUCCCAGAGAAGCGUUUGUCGGCACCAGGGCGAUGCCAGAGGAAAUUCCCAGGAGCAGAGUCUCGUGAAUGCUUUUAGAUGUAGCGGGCAAAAUAGCAACGCUCUAGAUGGUUCUCUCCUAAUUACAUUGCUCUCGUUGGAAUUUACUUGCGCUUGGGUCAGUGAUCAUUUUUGAUUCUUUUGGAGAAAAAUAGAAUCAGUUCUCAGCUGCCCUGUUUCACCCAUGCGCUGGUCCAGCUUGCAUCCUAUUUAAACCUCCUGGCUUCGCGUGGAGGUGUCCCUUGAGGAAAUGCUUUUGCAUUUAGGAAACACUGGGAGCCCACUGGCCACUUUUCCCAGCAAGGUAUUUGUAGAAGCCGGCCAAAACUCUCUUUCCUGGAAGAAAGAGGAUUUGCCACGUACCGAAAUGAGAAUCCAACGUGCAAACAAUUUAAAAAAUACAUCGAUGCACAAAUCAUGUUGGGGAUGAUUUUAAAAUUAACUCCUUCCCCAUUCCUCAUUUUUAUUAGAAUAACCCUGCGUAAGCUUUCCCUUCGUUAUGGUUACCGUUACCACUUUGGGUUAUAAAAUGCCCUCUGAGGGGAGUCUUAACAACGUCCGAGGAAAGUCACGAAACGCAAUCUGGUGAGAGCCAGCCCGGGGCUGGGAACGGUUGCCCGUGGGAUCCGUCAUGCUUUGAACAAAAUAUUGUUCCUGUGUUUUCUCCUCGCGUUUCUAUUAUACUUUUUGAGCAUGUUGUCAUUGGAAAGCAAGGGAAGCUGUGAAAUAGUUUAAAUACUGUCUGAUGUUCACAGAAAAAUUUGCUGCUUUCAGAUUAUCCUGGAGCAAGGGGAAUCUCUUUUCCUGAGUUUUAGGAUUCUGGGUGUGCCUGGGAACCCGAGCACGGCCACGGGAGCCUAUAAUUAAAAUAAUAAUAAAGGCAGUUGGAAUCUUCCA
rnacentral:lncRNA from 1 species